rnacentral:rRNA from 1 species
AUAUUAUAACGACUCUCGGCAACGGAUAUCUCGGCUCUCGCAUCGAUGAAGAACGUAGCGAAAUGCGAUACUUGGUGUGAAUUGCAGAAUCCCGUGAACCAUCGAGUCUUUGAUGCGAACUUGCGUGUGAAGCCAUUAGGCUGAGGGCACGUCU